AUUGAACGCUGGCGGCAGGCCUAACACAUGCAAGUCGAGCGGAUGAAGAGAGCUUGCUCUCUGAUUUAGCGGCGGACGGGUGAGUAAUGCCUAGGAAUCUGCCUGGUAGUGGGGGAUAACGUUCCGAAAGGAACGCUAAUACCGCAUACGUCCUACGGGAGAAAGCAGGGGACCUUCGGGCCUUGCGCUAUCAGAUGAGCCUAGGUCGGAUUAGCUAGUUGGUGAGGUAAUGGCUCACCAAGGCUACGCUCCGUAACUGGUCUGAGAGGAUGAUCAGUCACACUGGAACUGAGACACGGUCCAGACGCCUAGGGGAGGCAGCAGUGGGGAAUAUUGGACAAUGGGCGAAAGCCUGAUCCAGCCAUGCCGCGUGUGUGAAGAAGGUCUUCGGAUUGUAAAGCACUUUAAGUUGGGAGGAAGGGCAGUAAGUUAAUACCUUGCUGUUUUGACGUUACCGACAGAAUAAGCACCGGCUAACUCUGUGCCAGCCGCCGCUGUAAUAC
rnacentral:rRNA from 1 species